ensembl:lncRNA
GUGAAGUUGUGCAUAAAAUUAAAGGGAAAGUAGAAUCAUGUAGUAAAACUAACAAGAGGACACCAACAGGAUCAUCCUGCUCCAUUAAAAUUGUUUAUACAUACAACAGUGGAGAGUACUGGUAUGAGACUGAAGGAGGGAGAAGAAGCAACAGCAUCAACAUCUCUGUCACUGCUGGUUCUGUGAUCCUGGAGAGUCCUGCUGUUCCUGUGUUAAUGGAAGAAACUGUGACUCUGAGCUGCAGGAACAAAA